GAUGAACGCUGGCGGCGUGCUUAACACAUGCAAGUCGAGCGGAGAUGAGGUGCUUGCACCUUAUCUUAGCGGCGGACGGGUGAGUAAUGCUUAGGAAUCUGCCUAUUAGUGGGGGACAACAUUCCGAAAGGAAUGCUAAUACCGCAUACGUCCUACGGGAGAAAGCAGGGGAUCUUCGGACCUUGCGCUAAUAGAUGAGCCUAAGUCGGAUUAGCUAGUUGGUGGGGUAAAGGCCUACCAAGGCGACGAUCUGUAGCGGGUCUGAGAGGAUGAUCCGCCACACUGGGACUGAGACACGGCCCAGACUCCUACGGGAGGCAGCAGUGGGGAAUAUUGGACAAUGGGGGGAACCCUGAUCCAGCCAUGCCGCGUGUGUGAAGAAGGCCUUAUGGUUGUAAAGCACUUUAAGCGAGGAGGAGGCUACUGAGACUAAUACUCUUGGAUAGUGGACGUUACUCGCAGAAUAAGCACCGGCUAACUCUGUGCCAGCCGCCGCGGUAACAC
rnacentral:rRNA from 1 species